UACAGAGGUCUCAAGCGUUGUUCGGAUUCAUUGGGCGUAAAGGGUGCGUAGGCGGCGCGGUAAGUCGGGUGUGGAAAUCAUGGGCUUAACUCCGAAACUGCAUUCGAUACUGCCGUACUUGAGGACUGGAGAGGAGACUGGAAUUUACGGUGUAGCGGUGAAAUGCGUAGAUAUCGUAAGGAAGACCAGUGGCGAAGGCGGGUCUCUGGACAGUUC
rnacentral:rRNA from 1 species